GCUCGGUUAGCUCAGUCUGUAGGGCCCAAGACUCUUAAUCUGGAUGUUGCGGGUUCUAACCCCGCAUCGGGCA
rnacentral:tRNA from 1 species